ensembl:lncRNA
CCUCAGUGAAGGGGCUGCAGGCAGGUCAGGCCACAGCUGUCAUUGGCAUCUGGGUCUCACACAGAGGACAAUGCCCUGGAACUCCAGGCAUGCCACGACAGCUGCCCGAGGGUAUCUGAAGGGCGCUGUGAAAGGAGAACCUCCUUAGAUUUUGUCCCCAGCCAGCCAGUCAGCCCAGGCUGAAAACAUGAUGGGAGAAAAAGCCACCAACAGUGGCUCCCAGUGGGACCUCUGCUCCAGAGUGGGGACAGUGGGGACAGCUGGAUCCCAGGCCAAAGGGAAGCGCACAGAGAGAAACCCCAACAACCUGGGUCAAAAUUCAGCAUUGCCCAAGGCAAAGGCUCUGGCUGUGAGGCGGACCGCAAGGAUCCUCUCUGACCCUCAGGUUUUUUUCAUAUGAGAAAUGGACCUGAUGUAGACAUCUGCUUUAUGGUGUGGUUUGGAUAGGGAGGAAUCUGGUCAGUGCCUGGCAUUCCGGGAGAGGUGGGACAAGCUGGUGACAAGCACUUGUUGUCACUGGGACCUCAGUGCAGGAAAAUCGCCGCACAGAGGCUGGGAAUGCCACAGUGUGAAGCCCUCAUCCAGUCCUGAGGACCCAUACCAUCUUCUCUAGAGCCGAGGGCAUGUCCAUUUGAACUCAGCUGGCUCAGAGCAUCUGCCUCAAGUGUUGAGUGUCUGUGGCCUGGAGCAGGAAGAGGAGCCAGGAAGGCAGAAAACAAUAAUCUCAAUUUCUCUCUAUCCCAUCCCCACCGUGUGUGUGUGUGUGUGUGUGUGUGUGUGUGUGUGUGUGUCUGUCUGUCUGUCUGUCUGUCUGUCUGUCUGUCUGUCUGUCUGUCCUCCCACUCCUGGAUCUUCACAGGCCAACUGCAGCCAUAGCACAUAGUAGAGAUGCCAAGGUCUGGUCUGGUGAAGUCAUCUGGCCCGGGGGGCCCCCCGGAAAACUGACCUGGAACCCCAGCCUUCAAUGAUUGAAGCACUCCGGUGGAUCAAAACUCGGACUUCAUCACCCUCCUUAAAGAGCCCAGCACCCAAGGCAGGUUGGCCAUGGUGAGGCCACUUCCGGAAGAGACCAGCAAGCCAUGGUGAGCAAACUGAGGCUCAGAGAGGACAAAAAACCUACCCCGUGUCACACAGCUGCUCAGUGCCCAAGCAAGGAAAACCAAAGAAGCCCAGACAUUCCCAAGUGGGCUGAGUUGCUUCUCCAGGCCACAUCUUUCUGCCAGGGAUUGUGUCAGAUGUCUCUGUGAUUCCUCGAACUGCAGAGUCUGGUGUAUUUUGCACUUGUCCUGAGCUGUGUCCUCUCGGCUGUAUGGCACACACUGACGUCCCCACAACCAGAACCACCAUGAGUACAUCAUUUUGUGCCAAGGAAACAUUUUGUUUUUUGGUUUUUGAAACAGGGUUUCUUUGUUUAGCCCUGGUUGUCCCAAACUCACUCUGUAGACCAUGCUGGCUUGGAACUCACAGAUAUCCACCUGCCUCUGCCUCCUGAGUGCUGGGAUUAAAGGCGUGCACCACCAACACCGGCUCAAAACAUUUUUUUCCAGCCUAGUAUCGGGAUUAAAGCUGGAACUAGCGGGUCCUGUAACCCACUUCUCCACCUUUAGUACAGAGGCAAAGACUUGGCUUCAUCUGGUCACUUCUGAGUUUUAUGUGAAUUUCCCUGAGGUUUGGCAUUGGGGUUAUUUGGUUUGAUUCUUUGCUUCAUUAGAGGAAUAAAUCAAAACUUAGGCUUUUAAAAGCAAAGGUAUUUAAUGGAUCAACUCAGCACCUAGGAGACGAAGACAGGAAGAUCAGGAAGUCAAGGUCAUCUCUGCUACACAAUCGCAGCCUGGGCUAUGUGAGAUACAACAUAAAAUACAAAAAAACAAAAACAAAACAGAAAAUACAUGGUAUUCCUUCCUACUGUGUUAUACUGAAAACAGUUGGGCACACAUCCCUAUUAUACUCUGAAAAGUUGGGCACACAACCUGAGAUUCUCAAAGUUCAUCUCUGCUGAGUGCUGAGUUAAUUAUCGGUGUUACUAUAACACAGCACCAGAGGCUGGAUCGUUUGCAAACACAAGCGAUUUAUUGCUCCAAAGGCUGGAGGCUGCUGAGGGCAGAGAGUUUACUAGUCUCUUUUCCUCUUACUAAGUCACUAAUCCCACCUGAGGCUCGGGGGUUGGGGGGGCAUCCUUGUUACCUCAUCUAAUCUCAGUCACACCUCACAGACACCCCCCCCCGGGCACUGCCAAAUGUGGACUUGGGGACUAAACUCCCAAUCCAGGAGCUUCAGGGAGAAACAUCUAAACCCCAGUGUCCCCUGACUCCAGGAGUACACCAGAUCCAGCACACAGUAGGGCUCCAAUAAAUACUUAAGUCCUUAAAGUAGGGAUAAAAUCAUUUUUGUGUUUAUAAAUGACCUACAUUUUCUUCUCGUCUCUUAAAACUGUCAAUGGGUUAUUAUUUUUGUGUACACACACACACACACACACACACACACACAGGCACUCGUGCGCGCGCCUGCAGUGUGCACACGUAUGCACUCGUAUGUGUGCUCACACGCAGGUUCAGGUACUUAUGGGUUUCAGGUGACCCUGCUCGGACACCUCUUGGGGAAGGGGGUGAGAAAAUGCAGCACCAACAACUCAGGCACUGGGAGUCAGUGAGUAGCAGAGCAGGCUGCACACUUCCUUUAUUAAGAAGGUAGGCCUGGGCUGCAGAGAUGGCUCAGAGGCACCAACUGCUCUUCCAGAGGUCCUGAGUUCAAUUCCCAGCAACCACAUGGUGGCUCACAACCAUCCGUUAUGAGAUCUGGUGCCCUCUUCUGGUGUGCAGAUAUACAUGGAAGCAGAAUACUGUAUACAUAAUAAAUAAAUAAAAUCUAAAAAAUAAAACAUUACUAAAAUAAAAAUAUAUUAAAAAAAAAAAAGGUAGGCCUGCCUCUAUACACCCUCUCCAGGUCCUAUUGGCUCAGACGGCUGACUCUGCUGCGCUGUCCUUUUCUUAUUGGUGUCUCUGGGUCA